rnacentral:rRNA from 1 species
AUUGAACGCUGGCGGCAGGCUUAACACAUGCAAGUCGAACGGGUGGCGGACGGGAUAGUAAGGCUUGGGACUCUGGGUUGUGGAUGGGGUUACCGACGGGAAACUGUCACUACAACCGCGCACCAUAGGCUAAGCCCAAGUGGGAUUAGGUAGUUGGUGGGGUAAUGGCAUACCAAGCCGACGAACUGUACCUGGUCUGAGAGGAUGACCAGCCACACCGGGACUGAGACACGGUCCGGACUCCUACGGGAGGCAGCAGUGGGGAAUAUUGCGCAAUGGGGGCAACCUGACCCAGCCAUGCCGCGUGAAUGAAGAGGGCCUUCGGGUUGUAAAGUUCUUUCGGUUACGAGGCGUUAAUAACAGAAGAAGCACCGGCUAACUCCGUGCCAGCAGCCGCGGUAAUUC